GCCGGGGUAGCCAAGUGGCAAAGGCGCGGGCUAGCCGAGUCCGUGGAUGAAAAUCCUUUAGGGGUUCGAUUCCCCUCUCCGGCA
rnacentral:tRNA from 1 species